GACCUCGUAGCUCAGUUGGCUAGAGCGUUGGCUGUAUAAAUGCCUUCCACUUGCUGACGUGGGUUCGAAUCCCACCGAAGCUG
rnacentral:tRNA from 1 species